CCAGCAGACAAAGGGUUACUGCUUUGCAGCCCACCGGGUUGUUGUGGAGAAGGAAAAUGAUCUGUCUGGGGUUUUUCUUCUUUUUGGCGGCUUUCUCAGGUGUCAGCUCCCAAAUCCAGCUGACUCAGUCCGGGGCAGAAAUCAAAAAGCCUGGAGAGUCUGCGAAGGUGACGUGUAAAACCUCUGGCUACACCUUUACCAGCUACUACAUUAGCUGGGUGCGGCAGGCUCCUGGGAAAGGACUGGAGUGGAUUGGAUAUAUUAAUCCCAGUAGUGGUAGCACUGGCUAUGCCCAGGCUUUCCAGGGGCGAUUCACCAUCACCAGGGACACCUCCAUAAGCACGGCCUAUCUGCAGCUGGGCAGCCUGAGAACCGAGGACACGGCCACGUAUUACUGUGCUAGAUACACACAGUGA